rnacentral:rRNA from 1 species
CGUGGAUAACCUGCCUCAUACAGGGGAUAACAGUUAGAAAUGACUGCUAAUACCGCAUAAGCGCACAGAGAUGCAUGUCUCGGUGUGAAAAGCUGAGGCGGUAUGAGAUGGAUCCGCGUCUGAUUAGCUGGUUGGCGGGGUAGAGGCCCACCAAGGCGACGAUCAGUAGCCGACCUGAGAGGGUGGCCGGCCACAUUGGGACUGAGACACGGCCCAAACUCCUACGGGAGGCAGCAG